rnacentral:rRNA from 1 species
GAUGAACGCUAGCGACAGGCCUAACACAUGCAAGUCGAGGGGCAGCAUAGAGGUAGCAAUACUUUGGUGGCGACCGGCGCACGGGUGAGUAACACGUAUGCAACCUACCUGUAAGAGGGGAAUAACCCGGAGAAAUUCGGACUAAUACCGCAUAAUACCACGAAUUCGCAUGGAUUUGUGUUUAAACAUUUAUGGCUUACAGAUGGGCAUGCGUAUGAUUAGCUAGUUGGUAGGGUAACGGCCUACCAAGGCAACGAUCAUUAGGGGUUCUGAGAGGAAGGUCCCCCACACUGGUACUGAGACACGGACCAGACUCCUACGGGAGGCAGCAGUGAGGAAUAUUGGUCAAUGGGCGAGAGCCUGAACCAGCCAAGUCGCGUGAAGGAAGAAGGUUCUAUGGAUUGUAAACUUCUUUUGUAAGGGAAUAAAAAGAGUUACGUGUACCUUAUUGUAUGUACUUUACGAAUAAGGAUCGGCUAACUCCGUGCCAGCAGCCGCAGUAAGAC